GCGAGAUAGCUCAGUUGGUCAGAGCGUCGGAUUCAUAACCCGGAGGUCGGGAGUUCAAGUCUCCCUCUCGC
rnacentral:tRNA from 1 species